AGUGUAGGCGGGGCUUCAAGUCCGUUGUGAAACCGAUCGGCUCAACUGAUCGUUGCGGCGGAAACUGGAGUUCUUGAGUGAGGUAGAGGCAGGCGGAAUUCCCAGUGUAGCGGUGAAAUGCGUAGAUAUUGGGAGGAACACCAGUGGCGAAGGCGGCCUGCUGGGCCUUAACUGACGCUGAGGCUCGAAAGUGUGGGGAGCAAACAG
rnacentral:rRNA from 1 species